rnacentral:rRNA from 1 species
GAUUCCCUAGUAACGGCGAGUGAAGAGGGAAGAGCCCAAGAUUGAAAGCUGGCGCCUUCGGCGUCCGCAUUGUAAUCUCAAGAAGUGUUUUCCGCUUCGGACCAUGCCUAAGUCCCUUGGAAAAGGGCAUCAUAGAGGGUGAUAAUCCCGUACAUGGCAUGGAGCGCCCGAAGCUUUGUGAUACGCUUUCUAAGAGUCGAGUUGUUUGGGAAUGCAGCUCAAAAUGGGUGGUAAAUGCCAUCUAAGGCUAAAUAUUGGGGAGAGACCGAUAGCGAACAAGUACAGUGAUGGAAAGAUGAAAAGAACUUUGAAAAGAGAGUUAAACAGUACGUGAAAUUGCCAAAAGGGAAGGGUAGGAGGUCAGAGAUGCGUCGCAGGAUUCAGCCUUGCUUUUGCUUGGUGUUUUUCCUGCGUUGCAGGCCAACGUCGGUUUUGGGCACUGGAGAAGGGUAGGAGGAACGUGGCACCUCUCGGGGUGUGUUAUAGCCUCCUACUGGAUACAGCGACCGAGACCGAGGAACGCAGCGUACUCGUAAGAGCGGGCCUUUUGGCACCUUUACGCUUAGGGCGUUGGCAUAAUGGCCCUCUACCACCCGUCUUGA